UACGUAGGGGGCAAGCGUUGUCCGGAUUUAUUGGGCGUAAAGAGCGUGUAGGCGGCCUGGAAGGUCAGCUGUGAAAACUCGAGGCUCAACCUCGAGACGUCGGUUGAAACCACCUGGCUAGAGUCCGGAAGAGGAGAGUGGAAUUCCCGUGGUAGCGGUGAAAUGCGCAGAGUAUCAGGAAGAACACCCGUGGCGAAGGCGGCUCUCUGGGACGGUACUGACGCUGAGACGCGAAAGCGUGGGGAGCGAACAGG
rnacentral:rRNA from 1 species